rnacentral:rRNA from 1 species
GUGUCAGCAGCCGCGGUAAUACGUAGGGGGCAAGCGUUGUCCGGAAUUAUUGGGCGUAAAGCGCGCGCAGGUGGUGGAUUAAGUUGUGGGUAAAAGGCAAUGGCUCAACCAUUGUAAGCCUGCAAAACUGGUUCACUUGAGUGCAGGAGAGGGGAGUGGAAUUCCCGGUGUAGCGGUGGAAUGCGUAGAGAUCGGGAGGAACACCAGUGGCGAAGGCGACUCUCUGGCCUGUAACUGACACUGAGGCGCGAAAGCGUGGGGAGCGAACAGGAUUAGAUACCCCCGUAGUCC